rnacentral:tRNA from 3 species
GGGGGCGUAGUUCAAUUGGUUAGAGCGCCGGCCUGUCACGCCGGAGGUUGCGGGUUCAAGCCCCGUCGCUCCCGCCA